UGCUAAACCUAUUAGUAUUACGAAGGCAGCGGGCAGCGGAUCCUCUCUCUCUCUUUUUUUUUUUUACCCUUUUGGACUGUCGCAAUCAAUAAUCUAUCAGGCCCGUGUGUCACGCAAUGACACAUAACACGUUGUAAACAUGCUCUUGAUACGGUACUAAUUUAUGGUUGUAAAUAUCUGCGGACAGGCGGGAGUGACGCACCUGUUCGUGAUAGGUUUUUAUUACAGAUUAUCUUGUUCGCAGGAAUGGUUUAGAUAAGAAGGAUGGUAAUGCGGUACGUUAUUUAUUUAAAUAAUAUUUAUUUGUCAAACUUAUGAAUUUUAGAAAGUUAAAGAAAAUCGCUGCAGGCAUAAUUAUUACUGAAGGCUCGAAUAUACUCCAGAAUACAAAAGCCAAAUUAUUUCCAAGGCCUGAUUCUUUCCAAACAUCAAUCUUCUCACAUCAUAUAAGCAUAAAUUACGAUGCGCUCUAUAGGGAGCUUCAGGCAGAAAGCGAUGAAACUUUAAAUCCUGUUAGAUUAGCUCUUUAGACCAUCAAGAUAGGCAUAACGAAUGGCUGUUUCAUGUAUUAAACGAGGCUUUCUCCAUAUACCACGAGAAGGAACGAAAGUUCUAACCAUCUCUCUCUCUCUUCUGUAAUAACGAAAAUCUACUAGUGGGCGUAAAAUAUUUUAAACGAUAUGUCGAGCCGUAUGUUGUAUAAUAAAUAAAUGAGUGUACCCGAUAAAACUUUACCCAAUUGAGCAAAUCGAAGCCAGAAAUAAUUAUUAAUGGAAGAGUGCAUAAUUCAUUGGAGGACGCCAGCUGCUGCCCUUUAAUUAACGACGCGAGGAGGGCAGUUUAGGAAUUAAACAGCACACCAAUGGGGCACGGAGGAGGUGUGGUCUUUAUCGACACACUUCGGCCGAGAACACCGCUCGGAGUUUUUUUCUUUUUGUUUUUUCUUUUACGCUAACUAUGGAUAAUUAUUUUUGGUGAAAUUU
rnacentral:lncRNA from 1 species